CAUGCCUGUUCGAGCGUCAUUAUAACCACUCAAGCCUGGCUUGGUGUUGGGGUACGCGGUCCCGCGGCUCCUAAAAUCAGUGGCGGUGCAUCUGGCUCUAAGCGUAGUAAUUUUCUCGCUAUAGGGUCCGGUGAUGCUUGCCAGAACCCCAUUAUCUCACGGUUGACCUCGGAUCAGGUAGGGAUACCCGCUGAACUUAA
rnacentral:misc_RNA from 1 species